AUGAGCGGCGCUCCCGGCGGGCCCCGGCCGAGGACCCCGCCGAGCCGCGGAGCCGCGGCCGCCCCGUCGCCCCGGCCGCCCCCCGCCGACCCGCUGCGCCAGGCCAGCCGGCUGCCCAUCCGCGUCCUGAAGAUGCUCAGCGCCCACGGCGGCCACCUCCUGCACCCCGAGUACCUCCAGCCGCUCUCCUCCACGCCCGUCAGCCCCAUCGAGCUGGACGCCAAGAAGAGCCCGCUGGCGCUGCUGGCCCAGACCUGCUCGCAGAUCGGCAAGCCCGACCCGCCGCCCUCCUCCAAGCUGAACGCCGUGGCGGCCGCCGCGCCCGCCGCCGACAAGGAGCCCUCGGCCCGGCCCGCCGCGCUGAAGCCGCCGGGCAGCGGGGACGCGCCCGCCGAGGACAAGUCGAGCUUCAAGCCCUACUCGAAAGGCGGCGGGGAGCCCCGCAAGGAGGGCGGCGCGGACAAGGCCGGCUUUCGGGUGCCCAGCGCAGCGUGCCCGCCGUUCCCCCCUCACGCCGCCGCCUCCUCGCCCGGCGGUUCCCGCGGGGCUUCGCCGCAGCACCCCGAGCCCAAGGGCGCCGAGGAGAAGAAGGAGCCCGAAGGCGGCAAGCCCAGCCCCGAGGGGACGGGCGGGGCGCUGGGGCGCGGGGUGGUGGAGGCCGGGGCGCACGGCGAGCCCCCCUCGGGCCGCAAGUCGGAGCCCCCCGCGCUGCCGCCCGCCGGCCAUGUGGCCCCCGUGUCGCCCUACAAGCCGGGCCACUCCGUGUUCCCCCUGCCGCCCUCCAGCAUCGGCUACCACGGCUCCAUCGUGGGCGCCUACGCCGGCUACCCGUCCCAGUUCGUGCCCGGGCUGGACCCCACCAAGCCGGGGCUGGUGGGCAGCCAGCUGCCGGGGGCGCUGGGGCUGCCGGGCAAACCGCCCAGCUCCAGCCCGCUCACCGGGGCCUCGCCGCCCUCCUUCAUGCAGGGAUUAUGCCGGGACCCGUACUGCCUGAGCUACCACAGCGCCUCGCACCUGGGCUCCAGCAACUGCUCCAGCUGCGUGCACGACCCCGGCAGCCUCAAGAGCGGAUACCCCUUGGUGUACCCCACGCACCCGCUGCACUCGGUGCACACCACGCUCUCCUCCGGCGGCACCCCCAGCCUGCCCGGCCACCCCCUGUACACCUACGGCUUCAUGCUGCAGAACGACCCCCUGCCCCACAUAUGCAACUGGGUGUCUGCCAGCGGACCCUGCGACAAGAGGUUUGCCACCUCGGAGGAGCUGCUCACCCACCUACGGACCCACACGGCCCUGCCGGGGGCCGAGAAACUCUUGGCGGGUUACCCUACCUCCGGGCUGGGCUCCGCGGCCUCCUGCCACCUGCACCUCCCGCCCGCCGCCCCCGGGAGCCCCAACACCUUACCGGCCUCGCUCUCCUUGAGGAGCCCACACACUUUGGGACUAAACAGGUACCACCCCUAUGGCAAGAGCCACUUGCCCACGGCCGGCGCCCUGCCCGUGCCCUCCUUGCCAGCUGCCGGACCUUACUACUCCCCGUACGCUCUCUACGGCCAAAGACUCACGUCAGCCUCGGCUUUGGGAUAUCAGUAACCGGCUCAGCCCCAGCCCCUCGCGCCCUCCUUGGACUCUGUAUUUAUUACUGUAUGUUAGCUUAAAGCUGGGAAUAUAAGUGCAUUAUACACCAAUGAAUCAAUGGUAUGCAAAAAAAAAAAAAAAGUCUGUGUUCCAAAAAAAAAAAAAAUUAACCCGAAAAAAAGAAAAAAAAAAAAAUUUCCCUUCUUUACUUUGCAGGUGUGGGGCUUUGGUUUUCCCCUUCUGUUUCUUUUGAAUUUUUUUUUCCUUCCCCUUCUUAAUUUCCCCCAAGAAAUUCUUGCAUGACAUGGAAAAGCAAAAAAAACAAAAAAAAGGCAUUUUCCUCCUUCCCCUCUGCGUUUAUCGCUCUGGGAUUCUGUUCUCUGCAUUUGUAACUUGCAGAUGUAAUUUUUUUUUGGACUUUUUUCCUUAUUUUUAAUCUUUGGGGUUUUCAAAUUUUUUUUUUCCUUUUAAAAUUUUUGUGGUUUAUUUUUUUUUUUUCAAUUUUACUCCUUCUUUUUGGUUUUUUUUUUUUUUAAUUUUUUGCGCUGUGUCCGGGGCCGGGUGGGCUACACCGGUUGGGUGAUGCUCACCCCCAGGCCGUGCCCCGCCGGGGGCUGCAGGACCCCGCGUGUCCCCGCUGUGUCGGUGGGGGGACCGGAGGAGCGGCAGGACCGGCGGCCCCGGGCGGGCGGACGAGCCCCGAAAAAUGUGCCAGGUUUCAAACCUCUCCAGGAGGCAAAAGUCACCUAAAGGGAACGCGGAGAGACACAAAAAGACCUUCUCAAAUCCAGCUGGGGCUGGGAGGACACCGGUGGGUGUCGGACGUGGGGACAGCAGUUUUGGGGCUGUGCUGGUGGCUCUUUUCCCCGUGGCACAGCAGCACCUUCUCCGUGUCACCCCGAGCUGCCGGGGACCUGCAGCGCUUGACUCGCCGCUGACCCCGGUGCCGCCGAAGUCGCGCCCACCAUCACUCGCGAGGAAAAAGCUCUGAUUAUCCAAAUACAGUCAUUAAAGGGGAAAUGUGUUUUUUAGGACUGUCAGAGUGAUUAAUGAGGGUUAGCAAUCCUUGCAAAUGCACUUGUUUAGUCUAACUGGCAGCCUCUCCUUUCCUAUUGAUUUAUGGUGGCAGUUGCCGGGGCCGCGGUGUGUGUGGAAGGAGCGGGGCUGCGCCGGGGCACGGCGAGGGGCCCGGCCGAGCAGCACGGCACGCUCUGCUGUGCCCGAGGCAGCUGAACAAAGGCAACAUUAUCCCCUGUGCCGGGGAAGGAAUGACUUGGACGCACACGCCGAGCCGCUCCGCGUGCCUUAUAAAUAUCCCCGUCUGUGAAGGCCGAAGCCCAGCUGACCACAGCCACGCCGUCCGCCCAAUAAAUACGUGAAUGAAAGAGCCAGGCCCUAUUUUUUUCUUGUUGUUUUUCCUUUCCUCUCCUGCACAAAAAUCCCCGAUGUCUUUUAGGUGAUGCAGAGGUGGCUGCCCGCAGACGUACAAGGCGUUUCAGAGCGCGGAGCGGAGCGCGGCGUCCUCGAGGGCUGGAGCCUGCCCAGGGGUCAGGUCGGGAUGCAGAGCCAUGGUGGGUGGAUGAGAAGUUCCUCAGCUGCAUAAAGCAGCUUUUCUUUCCACGUGAGCACUGGUGGAAGCCACGGAGAACAUGGGCUCUGUUUGUCCUCCAAGCCAGAGUGGCACGGGCACCUCCUGUCUCCUCGCCAGCAUCCCCGUGCCCAGCCUGGCGUCAGGGUUUGCUUUGGGGCACACUUGGUGCUGGAUGAGCUGAGAGCAGACCUGGAGGGACAGAGCCAUGCUUGGAGGUGGCAGUGGAGGUCCUGUGCCAGGCUGGGAGCUGGAACCCUGCAGGAGGAGCAGCUGAGUGGUGACACAGCGGUGACACAGAGCAGCCGGGCAGCACCACGGUGUGGAGCUGUGUGUGCCCACCAGAGCCCCACACUGCCCUGCUGUGGGGCCACCUCCAGCCACUCCAAGCAGUGGGACAGCACAAGUGACAAGAGGCUGGAUGAGGUGAGUGGAGAAGGACAAAGACCUCGAGGUGCCAAAGCCAGAAGAGUGUGGGCAAGCACCCAGGGCACUGCAGUGGCCAGGAAUGCCACAAGUUGGAGUGGACUUUCCUCUGGCUCUGGAUAACAGCUGAAGAUCUGCUGCUGCCUCUGCCCUGGCCAUGGAUUGGUGUGUGCUGCAAACCCUCCAGCAGCUCUGAUUCCAGCUUUGACAAGGAUGCACUGACGUGUUCCUCACCACACCAGGACACCCGGCCUUGGCUGGUCACCAGUGACCCACGGGAGGUCCCCAGUGUGACCACAGCCAUGGUUUCCCUCUUGUGCAGUGUGACAGUCCAGCACAGGGCCCUGGCAGGUGACAAAGCCCUGGGACCACGGCUGUUUCCUGACACAGGAGUGUGGCAGCGAUGCUGGGUCACAGUCACCCUGUGUUUAUUGUGGUGACAAACUGAGGAGUGCUGAUCCUCACACACCAACACUUCAGCUGAAGCUCCCUGGAGAGCAGGGGAGGGUGCUCAGCUGACAGCUCUGUGCACAGAGCAGGGUCCUGGAGCUCGAGUCCCAAUAACACAGAUUUACACAGAUGAUUUACACAGACCCCUGUGUUUUCUGAAGCUGUUCAUGGAAACCUCCAGCAGUAGCUUUGCCAUGACUUCAUCCCACCUUCCAGCGUAGUGCAGGGAGACAGGACAGGAGGAUGUGACCCACAGCCUUUGCCAAAGGUGAUGGUGGAACACUGGCCCCAACAGGCUGAGCAGAGCUGGACAGGACACCUGACACUGUGCAUGGUGCAACGUGACCUCUUUAACACCUUGUGGUCCCAAAAUUCAUGGAUCACCCCUCCUGACCUGGCAAAAUUGGGAAGGAGAUGAAGGAUGCAGCAUCCUGGGCGUCUGGUGGCUUCUGACAGACCCUUCCUGCAGACACCUCAGUGGAGAAGAGAACCAAAAUGGCCUUUUUUGUGUCCCCCACAGCUGCAAAGGUGCCCACCACAGCACCCCUGCAUCUCCAGGUUACAUCCCUGGGAGAGGGAGAUGCUGCUGCAUCAAAGAAGAUGGGGAGCAGUGAGAGCCUCAGGUGCUGGUGCCACCCCAUGAGCAGCUCCUGGAGGACUCUGAGAGAGGACAGGACAGAAAUGGGGACUGUUAAAGAUCUUUCUUGCUGAGCUCUCACCGUCUUCUCUGCACCCAAAAUAGUUGCUGUUUUCCUGUCUGGAUGAGAAGGAUGGGGCUGGAUGAGAAGGAUGGGGCUGCUCAUCACCCAGGAUGGCGUCCAGGCUCUGCUCCUCUGGCCACAGCUCCUACCAAAGGGACUCCUGGUUUCUGCUGGAGCAGCGUUGCCUUUGUGGGGUUCGGUUUUGUUCCCAUCCCCUGCACAAUCCCAGUAACAUCCAACAGGCUGGAGAAGGACAGUGCCCCUCAGAGGUGAGGAGAGCCCAGUUCUGGGCAGAAUGGAAAUGGAGCCUAAAGCCUUUCCUUGCUUCCCACAGUCUCUGGGACUCUGCUUGGGGUUUGUUUUGGGAACAGCUGGCACGGAUGGGGCUGGCUGGGUGCCUGCUCCUCUGGCUGCAGGGAUGUGCUCUGUCCCCUUUGCUGCUGCUCCUCAGUAAUUCCCAAGCUUUUCCCAGUUGCUGUGCUGGCACAGAAAUCCUGCAGCACUGGGGCAGCUCGAGGGGUUCCUCACAAGGGGAGCACCAGGAUCCAGCAGCUCUCAUGAUUUUGGGAUGUCCUGGUUUGGGGCAGAUCCUGAGCCCUCCUGGCCAUGGGGGAAGCCCUCAGGGCAUUGGGACUGUCCUGCUGGGUUUGGGGACUGGCUCUGAGCACUGGGGUUUGCACAGCACCCACCCACUGCAGGUGAUGGGGACCAGGGCAGGGCUGGCAGCUCCAGGGUGCUCCGUGCCUCCAUUUCAGGGCACAGAGAGAGCCUCAACACCACAACCAGGGGGUGGGCAGUGGGCACAGCACCCACGCACUGCAGGUGAGUCCAGGGCAGGGCUGGCAGCUCCAGCAGGGCACAGAGAGAGCUCAGCACCACAACCAGGGGUGGGCAGUGGGCACUGCCCCUCACCUUUAAUCACACCCCAGAUGGCCACAAGCCCCAGGGCAGUAAUGGGCUUGGGGGGACUGAUCUCUGUGCGCUGUGCCAGGGAUGCUGCCCCUGCUCAUCCCUCUGGCCCUGCCCUUCUCCUGCCACCAGCAGUGGCGCUUUCAUCUCCGGGGGAGGUACAAAUGGAGCUGUCAGAUGCCAUCAGCCCCGUGAUAUGACAG